rnacentral:rRNA from 1 species
AUGGCAUCUCUGCUCCUCUUGCCUGUGCUAUUGCUGCCACUAUUGUUCCCCUCAUCCACCCAAGCUCAGAGAAACAUCACCCUGGGAUCCACAUUGGCACCCCAGGGGCCAACAUCGUCAUGGCUCUCACCCUCUGGCGACUUUGCUUUCGGCUUCCGACCCGUUGAGGGAAAUGCCUCCUUCUACCUCCUCGCCAUCUGGUUCAACAAGAUCAGCGACAAGACGGUCGCUUGGUAUGCCAAGAUUAUGGACCAAGAUCCAUCGGAGGUAUAG